AGAGCGAACGCUGGCGGCAGGCUUAACACAUGCAAGUCGAGCGGGCGUAGCAAUACGUCAGCGGCAGACGGGUGAGUAACGCGUGGGAACGUACCUUUUGGUUCGGAACAACCCAGGGAAACUUGGGCUAAUACCGGAUAAGCCCUUACGGGGAAAGAUUUAUCGCCGAAAGAUCGGCCCGCGUCUGAUUAGCUAGUUGGUGAGGUAAUGGCUCACCAAGGCGACGAUCAGUAGCUGGUCUGAGAGGAUGAUCAGCCACAUUGGGACUGAGACACGGCCCAAACUCCUACGGGAGGCAGCAGUGGGGAAUAUUGGACAAUGGGCGCAAGCCUGAUCCAGCCAUGCCGCGUGAGUGAUGAAGGCCCUAGGGUUGUAAAGCUCUUUGUGCGGGAAGAUAAUGACGGUACCGCAAGAAUAAGCCCCGGCUAACUUCGCGCCAGCAGCCGC
rnacentral:rRNA from 1 species